UAAUACGGGGGGGGCAAGCGUUGUUCGGAAUUACUGGGCGUAAAGGGUUCGUAGGUGGCUUGCUAAGUCAUACGUGAAAUCCCUCAGCUUAACUGGGGAACUGCGUCUGAGACUGGCGAGCUUGAGUGCAGGAGAGGAACGCGGAAUUCCAGGUGUAGCGGUGAAAUGCGUAGAUAUCUGGAGGAACACCGGUGGCGAAGGCGGCGUUCUGGACUGUUACUGACACUGAGGAACGAAAGCCAGGGGAGCAAACGGG
rnacentral:rRNA from 1 species